UAUAUUUUUUUUUUGUUUUUUUUUUGGUUUUUUUUUUUUCUGUUGUUUACACAGCACUAGGAAAAUUAAGCUCCGAAACAAAACAAACGAGUUUAAUUAAAUUGCAACAUAAAGUCAAUAGAAACUUUGAAAAACAAUUGGAAACAGAAGAAGAACAAUAUUAUGAUGACGAGGUGGCGAAAUAUGUCGAAGUAUCAGAAGUAGAUGAAGAGGAAAAUGAAGAAGUAAAACAACCGGAACAUGAAUACGAACAAGAACAAGAAGACGAACAAUCAUCAUGGUUUCAAGAACUGCAAAAGAAAUAUAAAAAUUAUAACAGUUAUGAAGAUAUAGAUAUACCUGGACAAGAUGGAGAAUAUGAAAAAUAUUAUUACGAACAUAUUGAAGAUGCAGAUAGUAAAACAAGUAUUUCGUAUCAUAAAGAUAAUGAUGGUUAUAACAACACCUCAAAUAAAAGCUAUGAUAGACUAAAACAUAAAGCUGAAAAAAGUAAAACAAUGCCUAAUGUCAAUGAAGUUAAAAAUAGUGACACUACAGAUGUAUUAUUAAAAGUAAUGUGUUAAAAAAAAAAAAAAAAAAAAAAAUUAUGUAUUGUACCUGUUCGCAUAUACCUUGUUAAUGACACUUUUAUGUAAUCUUUCAAAAAAUAAUAAUAUAAAUUCUAAUUUUUUUUUUUUUUUUUUUUUUUUUUAAAAAAAGGAUAUAAUUCUAGAUAUAAACAAGCAUACGAAAGAACAUAAAAAAAUAAGCUUUAUGUGUUUAGAAGAAAUUUUGAAAAAAAUUACCUUAAUUUUAAGCCAGCAAAUUAAAAUACAUAAAUUUUGCGCCUCCCAAAAAUCUAACAGCGAAUUAUUAUUUCAACACAUUUAUGACAUAAAACAACAAAUUGCUGACAAUGCUUUUAAAUCCUUAAGCAAUAAAGAAAACAUUAAAAGUUGCAUUCAAAAUGCGCACGAUGAAAAACAAAAUUAUGAUAAUUACCAAAAUAAACAUACCAAAAUAAAAAGUACAAGUGAAGAAUAUUUAAUAAAAUAUAAUGAAAAAAACAAAGUUAAAAAAAAUAACAACUCACAUUUAUUUUUGUUAUAUUUAAAUGAACUGGAAAAAAGUACUUACACAUUUACUCAUUUUUGUAGAAAUGUAAUUAAGCAAACUGAUUUGCACAAAACCAGUUCUUUAAAUAAUAUGGAGAAAAAGGUAUAAUAAAUGGAAUCAAACCAUAUAAAGUCAAUUUUUUUUUU
rnacentral:lncRNA from 1 species